rnacentral:rRNA from 1 species
CUCGCGGCCUAUCAGCUUGUUGGUGAGGUAAUGGCUCACCAAGGCGUCGACGGGUAGCCGGCCUGAGAGGGUGACCGGCCACACUGGGACUGAGACACGGCCCAGACUCCUACGGGAGGCAGCAGUGGGGAAUAUUGCACAAUGGGCGAAAGCCUGAUGCAGCAACGCCGCGUGAGGGAUGACGGCCUUCGGGUUGUAAACCUCUUUUAGCAGGGAAGAAGCGAAAGUGACGGUACCUGCAGAAAAAGCGCCGGCUAACUACGUGCCAGCAGCCGCGGUAAUACGUAGGGCGCAAGCGUUAUCCGGAAUUAUUGGGCGUAAAGAGCUCGUAGGCGGUUUGUCGCGUCUGCUGUGAAAUCCCGAGGCUCAACCUCGGGCCUGCAGUGGGUACGGGCAGACUAGAGUGCGGUAGGGGAGAUUGGAAUUCCUGGUGUAGCGGUGGAAUGCGCAGAUAUCAGGAGGAACACCGAUGGCGAAGGCAGAUCUCUGGGCCGUAACUGACGCUGAGGAGCGAAAGGGUGGGGAGCAAACAGGCUUAGAUACCCUGGUAGUCCACCCCGUAAACGUUGGGAACUAGUUGUGGGGACCAUUCCACGGUUUCCGUGACGCAGCUAACGCA